UUGAAAAAGAGUUUCCGAAAGUCCAAACAUCGCAAAAAAAGAUUUCACGGAUACUGGACGCUCUGAUAAAUAAACGAAAGUCGAGGAUUACCAGAAGUUAAUUGUUAAUUAGUAAAAGCAGUUUUUGCAAUGGAGGUGGUUGACUGUGUUCGACGAGCAGCAACGACGGCGUCUCGUUGCCCUUAAUUGACAUCAUGAAUUACAACGCAAAUAACAAAAGCGAGCUCGUGUUAAAAGAUGGCACGUGGGUUUACCUUGAGGAGGUCGUGGUGCAUCGAUCUCAUCCUCUUCCUCUUUUUCCAUCUGUGAUGACAGGAGAAUGCGAUGACCCAGCACCAGGAAAUCCUGCAGAUGGUCGUACCAAAUCGCGAUUAAAAAGCUUCGCGUGGGGAAAGAUAUGUUGUGUACACGGCAUGUAUUAUAUCUAACGGAAGCUGGUCUAAAUUCUUUGGAACGACUCGCGUGCGCCUCAUCUCAUCUCACCGCGAGCACGAUGACAGCAUCCGGCGAUGACGUCAUACAAUUGCGACGCCGGCCCCCGCCACAGUCGCGAUGAUCGUGCACGAUGACGUCGGCGAUGAUCACAGAUCGGCGACGGCAACAGCAGGAGGAGGAAGGAGCUGGAGCCCCGAGUCGAGCCGGCAGGAAUCGACGGUGCACCGUUUCGUCGCGGGGCCCAGCCAGUUCCUUCCAGAUCGCCGUGUCGUCGACUUCUUUCGGA